rnacentral:rRNA from 1 species
UACGUAGGGGGCAAGCGUUGUCCGGAUUUAUUGGGCGUAAAGAGCGUGUAGGCGGCCUGACAAGUCUGCUGUGAAAACUCGGGGCUCAACUCCGAGCUUGCAUUCGAUACGGGCAGGCUAGAGUUCGGUAGGGGAGACUGGAAUUCCUGGUGUAGCGGUGAAAUGCGCGAUAUCAGGAAGAACAGCCCGUGGCGAAGGCGGCGUCUCUGGGACGGUACUGACGCUGAGACGCGAAAGCGUGGGAGCGAACAGG